UCCUUUGUGGCUUAGACGGUGAAGAAUCUGCCUGCAACGCAGGAGACCCAGGUUCGAUUCCUGGCUUAGGAA
rnacentral:tRNA from 1 species